rnacentral:rRNA from 1 species
AGAGUUUGAUCCUGGCUCAGAUUGAACGCUGGCGGUAGGCUUAACACAUGCAAGUCGAACGGUAACAUAGCUAGCUUGCUAGCUGAUGACGAGUGGCGGACGGGUGAGUAACGCGUAGGAAUCUACCUAAUAGUGGGGGACAACCUGGUGAAAACCAGGCUAAUACCGCAUACGCCCUACGGGGGAAAGCAGGGGAUCUUCGGACCUUGCGCUAUUAGAUGAGCCUGCGUUAGAUUAGCUUGUUGGUGAGGUAAUGGCUCACCAAGGCGACGAUCUAUAGCUGGUCUGAGAGGAUGAUCAGCCACACUGGGACUGAGACACGGCCCAGACUCCUACGGGAGGCAGCAGUGGGGAAUAUUGCGCAAUGGGCGAAAGCCUGACGCAGCCAUACCGCGUGUGUGAAGAAGGCUCUAGGGUCGUAAAGCACUUUAAGUAGGGAGGAAGGCCUGAAGAUUAAUACUCUUUAGGAUUGACGUUACCUACAGAAUAAGCACCGCUAACU